GGAGCAGUAGUUCAGUUGGUUAGAAUACCUGCCUAUACGCAGAGGGUCGCGGGUUCGAGUCCCGUCCGUUCCGCCA
rnacentral:tRNA from 1 species